CUGCUCCGGGGCCUCGGCUGUCUCGAGGCGCUCGCGCUCGGCAUGCUGCUCAACGUCAAGGGCUACUUCCACAUCUACUGCGCGCUCGCCGCCUUUGAGGCCGGCAUCAUAUUCACCGACAAGUCCUUCAUGGCCAUCAUCUUCAUGGUGGCGCUCAACGUCGCCGUCACGCCCAUGGUGGGAAUGGGGAUCGCCUCCUGGGCACGCCGGAGCGUGCAGUGGCGCCUCAUGGGCCUCCAGCACCACGACCCGUCCACAGAGCUGCGCCUCGUCGCCGGCCUCCGUGGCCCGCAGGAAGUGCCGACCCUCGCGUUCCUCAUGGAGUCGCUCCGGUGGGGCGCCGGCAACGGCGAGAUUGCGUGCUACGCCGUGGACAUGGUGCAGCUGACGGACCAGACGGCGUCUUCGACCGUGAAAAGCGGUGGGUUGGACGGCGUGACAGUGGUGGACGAGGAGGUGUCGGAGAUGCGGAAGCUGAUCGGCGAGGCGCUAGACGCGUACCAGGCGGAGUGCGGCGGCAAGGUGAAGGUGCGCCGGCUGCUGGCGCUGUCGUCGUUCCCGGACAUGCACAGUGACCUGUGCAUCUGCGCCGAGGACGCCAUGGCAGCGCUGAUCCUAGUGCCGUUCCACAAGACACAGUGCCUGGACGGCACCAUGGACGGCGGCCACUUCGGGUUUCGGCUGGUGAACCAGAAGGUGCUACAGCUAGCGCCAUGCUCGGUGGGGAUCAUCGUGGACCGCGGCCUCGGCAAGCAGCAGCGUCCAGAUAGCACGGCGCAGGCGUCGGUUGUGGUGGUAUUCAUCGGCGGCGCGGACGACCGGGAGGCACUGACGCUGGCGUCGUUCAUGUGCAAGCAACAGGCUUUGGUGCGGCUGACGGCGCUACGGGUGGUGCAGAACGCGAUGGCGCAGGCGCGGGCUAAGGCGCGGACGAGUCUCUUCGAGUCCAAGAGCAAGCGGCAUAUGCCUAUGGCGGCGACGACAACGGGGCAGGAGGAGCUGCAGGCGCAGGCGGACGACAAGUUCUUCGCCGAGUUCUACCGGAAGCACGUCGCCGGCAACAAGUCCGUCGGGUACCUCGAGAAGCACGUGGCGGACGGGGCGGAGCUGGUGGCGGUGCUGCGGGGGAUGCAGGGGGACUACCGGCUUUUCGUGGUGGGGAAGGGAAGGGACCGCAACUCGGUGCUCACCGAGGGGUUGGAGGAGUGGGCAGAGUGCCUGGAGCUCGGGCUCGUCGGCGACAUCCUAGCCUCGUCGGACUUCUCAACCACCGCCUCCGUGCUCAUCGUGCAGCAGUACGACGCCAAGAAGCACUACAAGGUGAUCGAUGAGGAGUUCAUGCCCUUGUAA
rnacentral:rRNA from 1 species